rnacentral:rRNA from 1 species
UACAGAGGUCUCAAGCGUUGUUCGGAUUCAUUGGGCGUAAAGGGUGCGUAGGUGGCGCUGUAAGUCGGGUGUGAAAUUUCGGAGCUUAACUCCGAAACUGCAUUCGAUACUGCGGUGCUUGAGGACUGGAGAGGAGACUGGAAUUCAUGGUGUAGCAGUGAAAUGCGUAGAUAUCGAGAGGAACACCAGUGGCGAAGGCGAGUCCCUGGACAACUCCUGACGCUGAGGCACGAAAGCUAGGGGAGCAAACAGG